rnacentral:rRNA from 1 species
UACAGAGGGGGCAAGCGUUGUUCGGAAUUACUGGGCGUAAAAGGCGCGUAGGCGGCCUGCUAAGUCGAACGUGAAAUCCCCGGGCUCAACCCGGGAACUGCGUCCGAUACUGGUGGGCUUGAAUCCGGGAGAGGGAUGUGGAAUUCCAGGUGUAGCGGUGAAAUGCGUAGAUAUCUGGAGGAACACCGGUGGCGAAGGCGACAUCCUGGACCGGUAUUGACGCUGAGGCGCGAAAGCUAGGGGAGCAAACGGG